rnacentral:rRNA from 1 species
UGAGGAAUAUUGGUCAAUGGGCGGGAGCCUGAACCAGCCAAGCCGCGUGAGGGAGGAAGGCCCUAUGGGUCGUAAACCUCUUUUGUCAGGGAACAAAAGCGAGUAUGUAUACUAGUCUGAGUGUACCUGAAGAAAAAACAUCGGCUAACUCCGUGCCAGCAGCCGCGGUAAUACGGAGGAUGCGAGCGUUAUCCGGAUUUAUUGGGUUUAAAGGGUGCGUAGGCGGCGGUGCAAGUCAGCGGUAAAAGCCCGGGGCUCAACCCCGGCGAGCCGUUGAAACUGCAGUGCUAGAGAAGGCGAGAGGUACGCGGAAUGCGCAGUGUAGCGGUGAAAUGCUUAGAUAUUGCGCAGAACUCCGAUUGCGAAGGCAGCGUACUGGCGCCUGACUGACGCUGAGGCACGAAAGCGUGGGGAUCGAACAGGAUUAGAUACCC